AUCAACCAUAUGACGAUGUAUCUCAUGAACAAAACGCACCCACUGUACUGCCAGACAAUACAUAUGAGGUAGCACAGAAAAAACCAGAAAGACCACCAAAACCAAUGGCGAAAGCUGUACCAAACGAUGGAAUAGUAUAUGCUGACUUGGAUGAACUAGAUUUAAAGAAGCCAGCCAAACCAGGUAUCCAGCCAAAACCAAAGCCACCACCACCACCACAAGAAGAUGAUGUUCAAUAUGCUGCAGUGGAUUUUGCAAUGACAGAGAGACUACGAAAAUCCUAGAUACUGAUACUGGAUGAUUGGUUGACCUUUGACUGCACAAAUUGUUACAAAGUCAACGAUGCAGUUUGAUGAAUCUAUGCUUCUGUGUUUCAUUCACAACGCCAUACAAGAAGUAUAUAAAAUGCUUUUCAUACCAAAUAUUUGCUGUAAUUAGCCAGGUUUCAUUCCAUGCAGUAUAUUCAAUCAAUAUUUGUCAAUCUUCAGCAAUGUAGCCCUAUUUAGAAGCAGAUUUCUGCAAUUUCUGUCAGACCUUGUAAUACUAGGCUUUGAUAUGUAGUGUUUUGACUAUAAAGAAUAGAAGGGAGCAAAGCAUUUAAUCUUUUUUUUUAGGUUUACAGAAAGAGCUAUCUAAUCAGCAUGGUAUUUGACGCCUGUUUCUUUUUUCAGGGAGUACAAAUGUAUGGAAUGAAAGUGUAUUCCAGAAAAAUGUUAAUAUCUUUUAUAAAAAAUUUUAAUAAUCAGACCAUAAAAGAAAAUUUGUACCCAUAAGCAAGAUUCACAUCAAUAACAAUUUACUUUUUUUCAACCUUUCAAUAAUUUUCAAUACUUUUGCAGAAACAAAAAAGAACAUUUUUCCAUUUAUCACUAUUAUCUGGGCCGGUGCUAAACUGAAGUUUCUGGACCAGUAAGGGAUGCAGUCUGAUAAGAAUGACACGAGUUACUGCACCUUUGAUAUGAUAUUCAAACAGUUUUUUAAUUACAUUUUUUUA